GACGAACGCUGGCGGCGUGCCUAAUACAUGCAAGUCGAACGCUUCUUUCCUCCCGAGUGCUUGCACUCAAUUGGAAAGAGGAGUGGCGGACGGGUGAGUAACACGUGGGUAACCUACCCAUCAGAGGGGGAUAACACUUGGAAACAGGUGCUAAUACCGCAUAACAGUUUAUGCCGCAUGGCAUAAGAGUGAAAGGCGCUUUCGGGUGUCGCUGAUGGAUGGACCCGCGGUGCAUUAGCUAGUUGGUGAGGUAACGGCUCACCAAGGCCACGAUGCAUAGCCGACCUGAGAGGGUGAUCGGCCACACUGGGACUGAGACACGGCCCAGACUCCUACGGGAGGCAGCAGUAGGGAAUCUUCGGCAAUGGACGAAAGUCUGACCGAGCAACGCCGCGUGAGUGAAGAAGGUUUUCGGAUCGUAAAACUCUGUUGUUAGAGAAGAACAAGGACGUUAGUAACUGAACGUCCCCUGACGGUAUCUAACCAGAAAGCCACGGCUAACUAAGUG
rnacentral:rRNA from 1 species